rnacentral:snRNA from 1 species
GUGCUCGCUUUGGGAGCACAUUUACUAAAAUUGGAAUGUUAUAGAGAAGAUUAGCAUGGCCCCUGCCCA